rnacentral:rRNA from 1 species
UUCGUAGGGUGCGAGCGUUAAUCGGAAUUACUGGGCGUAAAGCGUGCGCAGGCGGCUUUGCAAGACAGAUGUGAAAUCCCCGGGCUCAACCUGGGAACUGCAUUUGUGACUGCAAGGCUAGAGUACGGCAGAGGGGGAUGGAAUUCCGCGUGUAGCAGUGAAAUGCGUAGAUAUGCGGAGGAACACCAAUGGCGAAGGCAAUCCCCUGGGCCUGUACUGACGCUCAUGCACGAAAGCGUGGGGAGCAAACAGG